rnacentral:rRNA from 1 species
ACGGAGGGCGCAAGCGUUAAUCGGAAUUACUGGGCGUAAAGCGUGCGUAGGCUGUUUGGUAAGUCAGGCGUGAAAGCCCUCGGCUCAACCGGGGAACUGCGCUUGAUACUGCCGGACUCGAGUCCCGGAGAGGGUGGCGGAAUUCCAGGUGUAGGAGUGAAAUCCGUAGAUAUCUGGAGGAACACCGGUGGCGAAGGCGGCCACCUGGACGGGUACUGACGCUGAGGCACGAAAGCGUGGGGAGCAAACAG